CUCGUCUGGAAGUUUUGUCGUGGUUAUGCCUAAUUCGGAGCACUCAAAGAUCUGGAAAAUUAAAAAUACAACGGGAAGUUAAGUAUAUAUAUGGUAGAACGCGAUGAAGAUUCUAAAUGAUGAUGGUCAGGCACCAAUAGCGUUCGUGUAACUCCCUCCUUUUCGAAACGUCGUGGGAUUAGCCUUGAAAUUAAUAUAUAAGUAUUAAACAGUUCGGAUACAAUUAGAAAGAUGAGUAAUUAGGUCUAUGGUCAAUUAGAUAUUGGGAAAUUACGUAUAGAAAGCAUUUCAAGCAUACCCGGAAGUAUACCCCGGAGUUGCUUCUCCAGGAAGGGUCAGGUGGGGUGGUAAUGAUCAUGGGAAUCAAAAAACUAAGCGAUAUUCAAGGUGGUGUACACAUGUAACCAUUAGGCAUAAAGAAUACUGGGGUAAUUAAGGGAAAAGAUCAGCCCACAGGUUAGGUGGGGGGAUAGGAACACUGCAUUACCACCAAGUGAUGGAGAUAGUAAUUUAUAAUGAACAUUGCCCAGCACCGAAAAAUAAUGAACUACCAGAUUGUACCAACCCGAAAGCGAAGGGACCCUUUCCAUAUGGAAAGGGAGCCUGCACAGGUGGUGCACGGCCGUCGUCAGCUUGAGCCGUGAGGUGUUGGGUUAAGUCCCGCAACGAGCGCAACCCCUGCCCUUAGUUGCCAGCGGUUCGGCCGGGCACUCUAAGGGGACCGCCGGCGACGAGCCGGAGGAAGGAGGGGACGACGUCAGGUACUCGUGCCCUUUAUGCCCUGGGCUACACACGCGCUACAAUGGGUGGUACAGUGGGUCGCGACCUCGCGAGAGGGAGCCAAUCCCCAAAACCAUCCUCAGUUCAGAUCGCAGGCUGCAACCCGCCUGCGUGAAGCCGGAAUCGCUAGUAAUCGCGGAUCAGCCAUGCCGCGGUGAAUACGUUCCCGGGGUU
rnacentral:rRNA from 1 species